rfam:Clostridium hathewayi CAG:224 genomic scaffold, scf30
AAAAACAAAGAUAAAAACACAGCUCCGGUAGGUAGUCCGGGCGCAGCGGACAAUAUUUGUGAAAACGCUGUCAGUAACCUUCCUCCUUAGGUCGUCCAUUCUUUGUCUGUUAUGA